rnacentral:rRNA from 1 species
UACGUAGGGUGCGAGCGCUAAUCGGAAUUACUGGGCGUAAAGCGUGCGCAGGCGGUUUGGUAAGACAGAUGUGAAAUCCCCGGGCUUAACCUGGGAAUUGCAUUUGUGACUGCCCGGCUAGAGUGUGUCAGAGGGGGGUAGAAUUCCACGUGUAGCAGUGAAAUGCGUAGAUAUGUGGAGGAAUACCGAUGGCGAAGGCAGCCCCCUGGGAUAACACUGACGCUCAUGCACGAAAGCGUGGGGAGCAAACAGG